CUUUGCUGUUAUUUUCUUUAUUGAUGUUUCUCUUUGAUGUUCUUUUCUAUAUCAUCCUUUUGUUGAUGUUCUUCGAUGGUCUGGGUGAGCCGCUUUCCUCCCAGAAGAGACCCACCCAGAAUUUUGGUGAUGUUACUUAGGGCCGAAAGGUGGAUGAUGUUUCGUUGUAUUUUUCUUUUCUUGAUGUUGUUCUUAUAUUGAUGUUACUUUUCUUUUUCGAUGUUUUUUCUUUUCUUUUUCUCUUUUUCAUUCUUUCUUGAUGUUCUUUUCUACAUCAUCCCUUGUUGAUGUUCUUUGGUCUGGAUGAGCCUUUUUCUCCCCAGAAAAGACCCACCCAGAAUUUUGGUGAUGUUACUGAGGGCCGAAAGGUGGAUGAUGUUUCUUUGUACUUUUCUUGAUGUUCUUUCUGUUCGUUUUCUUUUCAGUAUCUUUCAGUGUUCUAUUCUAUAUCAUCCGUUUGUUGAUGUUCCUUGGUCUGGAUGAGCCUUUUUCUCCCCAGAAAAGACCCAUCCAUAAUUUUGUCAAUGUUAAUUAGGGCCUGAAGGUGGAUGAUCUGUGUUUGUUUUUUCUGGUGUUCUUUUUUUAUUUUCCUUUUCUUUGGUUUUCCCAAAACGUGGAUUGUCUACGACAUCUAACGGGCACCACCUGCCCGGGUUUAUUGUUCGGAGUUUGCUCUCCUAGGUGAACUGCCUACCACGGCUAACGACCUCCACCUGCCCGGGCUUAUUGUUCGGAGUUGUCCCUCUCCUAGGCGAAUUGCCUACCAUAGCUAACGAGCUCCACCUGCCCGGGUUUGUUUAGAGUUUGCUCUCCUAGGUGAACUGCCUACCACGGCUAACGAGCUCCACCUGCCCGGGUUUGUUGUUCGGAGUUUGCUCUCCUAGGUGAACUGCCUACCACGGCUAACGAGCUCCACCUGCCCGGGUUUGUUGUUCGGAGUUUGCUCUCCUAGGUGAACUGCCUACCACGGCUAACGAGCUCCACCUGCCCGGGUUUAUUGUUCGGAGUUUGCUCUCCUAGGUGAACUGCCUACCACGGCUAACGAGCUCCACCUGCCCGGGUUUGUUGUUCGGAGUUUGCUCUCCUAGGUGAACUGCCUACCACGGCUAACGAGCUCCACCUGCCCGGGUUUGUUUAGAGUUUGCUCUCCUAGGUGAACUGCCUACCACGGCUAACGAGCUCCACCUGCCCGGGUUUAUUGUUCGGAGUUUGCUCUCCUAGGUGAACUGCCUACCACGGCUAACGACCUCCACCUGCCCGGGUUUGUUGUUCGGAGUUUGCUCUCCUAGGUGAACUGCCUACCACGGCUAACGAGCUCCACCUGCCCGGGUUUAUUGUUCGGAGUUUGCUCUCCUAGGUGAACUGCCUACCACGGCUAACGAGCUCCACCUGCCCGGGUUUGUUGUUCGGAGUUUGCUCUCCUAGGUGAACUGCCUACCACGGCUAACGAGCUCCACCUGCCCGGGUUUGUUUAGA